GACGAACGCUGGCGGCGUGCUUAACACAUGCAAGUCGAACGGAAAGGCCCUGCUUUUGUGGGGUGCUCGAGUGGCGAACGGGUGAGUAACACGUGAGUAACCUGCCCUUGACUUUGGGAUAACUUCAGGAAACUGGGGCUAAUACCGGAUAGGAGCUCCUGCUGCAUGGUGGGGGUUGGAAAGUUUCGGCGGUUGGGGAGGGACUCGCGGCUUAUCAGCUUGUUGGUGGGGUAGUGGCUUACCAAGGCUUUGACGGGUAGCCGGCCUGAGAGGGUGACCGGGCACAUGGGGACUGAGAUAGGGCCCAGACUCCAACGGGAGGCAGCAGUGGGGAAUAUUGCACAAUGGGCGGAAGCCUGAUGCAGCAACGCCGCGUGCGGGAUGACGGCCUUCGGGUUGUAAACCGCUUUCGCCUGUGACGAAGCGUGAGUGACGGUAAUGGGUAAAGAAGCACCGGCUAACUACGUG
rnacentral:rRNA from 1 species